UACGUAGGGGGCAAGCGUUGUCCGGAAUCAUUGGGCGUAAAGAGCGCGUAGGCGGUCCGGUAAGUCCGCUCUGAAAGUCCGGGGCUCAACCCCGGGAGGCGGGCGGAGACUGCCGGGCUAGAGUCCGGAAGAGGCGAGUGGAAUUCCUGGUGUAGCGGUGAAAUGCGUAGAUAUCGUAAGGAAGACCAGUGGCGAAGGCGGGUCUCUGGACAGUUCCUGACGCUGAGGCACGAAGGCCAGGGGAGCAAACGGG
rnacentral:rRNA from 1 species